UACGUAGGGUGCGAGCGUUGUCCGGAAUUAUUGGGCGUAAAGAGCUUGUAGGCGGUUUGUCGCGUCUGCCGUGAAAGCCCAGGGCUUAACCCUGGGUCUGCGGUGGGUACGGGCAGACUAGAGUGUGGUAGGGGAGACUGGAAUUCCUGGUGUAGCGGUGAAAUGCGCAGAUAUCAGGAGGAACACCGAUGGUGAAGGCAGGUCUCUGGGCCGUAACUGACGCUGAGGAGCGAAAGCAUGGGGAGCGAACAGG
rnacentral:rRNA from 1 species